GCGGCGAGAGGUCGCGCGGCGCGCGGUCGCGCGCGCGCGCGACGAAUUCGACGACGUUCCGUGAGCCGCAUUCCGCGUCGUCAUCCAUCGACGCUCACGGCGUCGGGAUCGCGACGACGACGCGCGCGCGCGGUGCGUUAGGUGCGUCGUGUUGUUGAAUAGUGCGCGAGCGCGUCGGUGCGCGUCGGGGCGAUCGCCGCGCGCGUGUGGCGAGCAAACACGCGUCGGGCGCUCUGAUAGAUUUGAUUUGAUUUGUUUGAUGUGUUUGAUUUGAUUAGUGAUAUUGAAGUCGCCGUCGGCGCGGCGCGUCCGCGGUUCGGUCAUCGCUACCGCGAAGACACCGCGGGACCACCGGUGCAUUCAGCUGGUGAACGAUUGACGUGUCUCGCACCGAGCAAAAUCCCCGAGGCUUGCUUGCGUCGCUUAUAGGGAGUUGCUUCGUCGCACACACGCUGCGAAAAAAAAGCGUGUCAUUAUUAAUUAUUUUAUUUCUGAUGAGAUCAACCUUGGCGUGCUCGAAGAUCCAUCGAGCCGCCUUUAAUGCGGGUAGGAUUGCUCGCGAAAAUGUGGCGGUAUCGAUGUAUGCGUCGCCGGCCGCAGCGGACCUCGCCGCGCCUAAGUAGACGAAACACUAACUGAAGAAUAAUUCCAAUGAAAAAAUUGCGAGGGGCAUGGUCAAAACGCAACGUACGGGAUUUGACGAUGCUCAAGAGUCUCGAUUCAUUGGGUGGGGCUAAUCAUUACGACAUAUGUCGAACCGCGUAGCGUUCUAACGUCGCCUCUUUGCGUUCAAAGUGUAUGGAGGAAUUCAAAAUAAUUUUGCAUUCAGUAAAAUAAACCAGUGUAAUUCGUGAAAACUAAAAUCUGCAAGAAUCGAGCGACGGGCGCGAAUU
rnacentral:lncRNA from 1 species